rnacentral:tRNA from 1 species
GCAGUGGUGGUUCAGCGGUAGAAUUCUCACCUUCCAUGCGGGAGACCUGGGUUCAAUUCCCAGCCAGUGCA